rnacentral:rRNA from 1 species
GUGUCAGCCGCCGCGGUAAUACGUAGGGGGCGAGCGUUGUCCGGAUUUAUUGGGCGUAAAGCGCGCGCAGGCGGUUCGUUAAGUCCGAUGUGAAAGCUCCCGGCUCAACUGGGAGAGGUCUUCGGAUACUGGCGAACUCGAGGGAGGCAGAGGAAGGUGGAAUUCCGGGUGUAGUGGUGAAAUGCGUAGAGAUCCGGAGGAACACCAGUGGCGAAGGCGGCCUUCUGGGCCUUUCCUGACGCUGAGGCGCGAAAGCGUGGGGAGCGAACCGGAUUAGAAACCCUGGUAGUCC